GCACUGAUGGCCGAGUGGUUAAGGCGCCAGACUCGAAAUCUGGUGGGGUCCCCCGCGUAGGUUCAAAUCCUGCUCAGUGCG
rnacentral:tRNA from 1 species